GCUUUGGCGAGAGCUGAAGGAAGUUCAGCGAGCCUCAGCCCCAUCCCAACCAGAACAGAUUUGUCACUGACGCUAAUGAGUGGCUGCUCUGGGGGGUGGCGCUCCCUGGAAGCUCCACAGCGGCUGCUCUCAGGUUUUCAGGUCAGCUCAAUGCAAAGCCUUCCAGAAGGGGCAGGGGGUGAGCUGAUGAACUCCACGGCCGAGGGGUUUUCAUGUAUAUCUGGAAGACGGGACACAGGAAAGAGCGAGAAAAUUUUCCUCAGCUUCUACUGAGUCAGAAAAGCUCAGCUCCCAAACAGACUGUCCCCUGAGGCCUCACACAGCUGGGAACGGAUCCACAAUACAGCCAAGGUCCCAAUGUUCCAGAAAAGACCAUGCUACAGAAACCUCCUCUCUUCUACUGGUUUCCCAUUCACUGAGAUCUGUUACAAGUGGGCGUGGUACACACUCAUUGAGUUCCCGGCCAAUAGUAAUAGCCAUGAUUGUUCUAACAAACCCAGCACCAACCAAGGCUACCCCAAAGCUGAAAUGGAACAUUCUGAAAUUCAAUUAUCACUAAAGCAAUUCUGCACCCUGACUAUGGAAGUGGGGGGUGGAAGAGUGGAGAGUGGAGGCAUUCUUGAAACCAUCCUAAAAGUCUGUUUGCAAUAGGAGUUGGCAGCCUUUCAGCAAUGGCCUCCUAGCCCUCUGUCAUUGGAGCUGUGAGGCCUCCUCCUUUCCCUAUAGUCCACAUCCCCUGAGAGGUAGGGAAACCAAAAAUGGAGGCUCAGAAAUGCCGAUGGUGCACCAAAAUUAAAAACUUCUGGAGGAUCCUGGGAAGACGGCAGCAUAGGAAGACUCUGAACUUACCUCCUCCCACAGACACAACAAAUCUACAACUACCUGUGGAACAAUUACCUCUGAGAGAUCUGGAAACUGGAAAAAAGAACCCCCACAAGAAGGGACAAGACUGACAGGGGUGGAAGGCAGAAAUACACCUCUGCUGAGGGAAAAACCACAUCCUAGCAGUGGUGCUUCACGGCCGGGAGCAAUCUUCAAAGUAGGAAGCUUUUCCCUGAGGAGCAGGGGCGUCCUGAGUGGGAGAUCCAUGCCACAGGAAGCAUCCCAGCCUUUAGAUUCAGCACAGCGUUGACAAGAUCCCAUAAUACUUCCCUUUGCUGGCUUGGAAAACCAAGGGGGAAUACCUGCAGAAAAACUACUGAACUUCAGAGACAGAAAAGCCUGCUCUUAAAGGGUCCAUGCAUAGAUCCACUCAUU
rnacentral:lncRNA from 1 species